rnacentral:sRNA from 1 species
ACGAGAUGAUGGCUGGACAGCCUCCCUUUGAGGCCGACAAUGAAGACGACCUAUUUGAGUCCAUCCUCCAUGACGACGUGCUGUACCCAGUCUGGCUCAGCAAGGAGGCUGUCAGCAUCUUGAAAGCUUUCAUGACGAAGAAUCCCCACAAGCGCCUGGGCUGUGUGGCAUCGCAGAACGGCGAGGACGCCAUCAAGCAGCACCCAUUCUUCAAAGAGAUUGACUGGGUGCUCCUGGAGCAGAAGAAGAUCAAGCCACCCUUCAAACCACGCAUUGUAAGUUGGUCCCCGUGCACGUUCAGCACCAUGGGUCGGGCCUAGGUACUUGCAGGACAGGCUGCGUGCACCCAGGAAGAGUGGUCAGGGGAUGCGUAUUACAGUAAAAAUGACAAAGACCAGACGUGGCUGAGGCUCUCCCUAAGACAAUGUCUUUAGGCCCCAAGUGUUUACUAUUGAAAACAUGUAACCUACUACAGCAGCACCCAAGAUGAUGAUUUACGUGGGCCACAGAACACCUUUUGUCUUUACAGAGAUUCAAUUUAUUUAUUUUGAUUGAAAAUGACAAAUGAUACUAGUUUUCCAU